GACGAACGCUGGCGGCGUGCUUAACACAUGCAAGUCGAACGGAAAGGCCCUGCUUUUGUGGGGUGCUCGAGUGGCGAACGGGUGAUUAACACGUGAGUAACCUGCCCUUGACUUUGGGUUAACUUCAGGAAACUGGGGCUAAUACCGGAUAUGAGCUCCUGCUGCAUGGUGGGGGUUGGAAAGUUUCGGCGGUUGGGGAUGGACUCGCGGCUUAUCAGCUUGUUGGUGGGGUAGUGGCUUACCAAGGCUUUGACGGGUAGCCGGCCUGAGAGGGUGACCGGCGACAUUGGGACUGAGAUACGGCCCAGAGUCGUAGGGGGGGAAGCAGUGGGGAGUAUUGCACAAUGGGCGGAAGCCUGAUGCAGAAACGCGGCGUGCGGGAUGACGGCCUUCGGGUUGUAAACCGCUUUCGCCUGUGACGAAGCGUGAGUGACGGUAAUGGAUAAAGAAGCACCGGCUAACUACGUG
rnacentral:rRNA from 1 species